rnacentral:rRNA from 1 species
GUCCACGCCGUAAACGAUGAAUACUAGGUGUCAGGGAGCACAGCUCUUUGGUGCCGCCGCAAACGCAUUAAGUAUUCCACCUGGGGAGUACGUUCGCAAGAAUGAAACUCAAAGGAAUUGACGGGGACCCGCACAAGCAGCGGAGCAUGUGGUUUAAUUCGAAGCAACGCGAAGAACCUUACCAGAUCUUGACAUCCUUCUGAAAAUCCUUAGCCGGAUUCCUCCUUCGGGACAGAAGAGACAGGUGGUGCAUGGUUGUCGU